GACGAACGCUGGCGGCGUGCCCAAUACAUGCAAGUCGAGCGAAGUUUUUCUGGUGCUUGCACUAGAAAAACUUAGCGGCGAACGGGUGAGUAACACGUAAAGAACCUGCCUCAUAGACUGGGACAACUAUUGGAAACGAUAGCUAAUACCGGAUAACAGUAUUUCUCGCAUGGGAGAUAUUUAAAAGUUGGUUAUGCUAACACUAUGAGAUGGCUUUGCGGUGCAUUAGCUAGUUGGUGGGGUAAAGGCCUACCAAGGCGACGAUGCAUAGCCGACCUGAGAGGGUGAUCGGCCACACUGGGACUGAGACACGGCCCAGACUCCUACGGGAGGCAGCAGUAGGGAAUCUUCCGCAAUGGGCGAAAGCCUGACGGAGCAACGCCGCGUGAGUGAAGAAGGAUUUCGGUUCGUAAAGCUCUGUUGUUAGGGAAGAAUGGAUAUGUAGUAAC
rnacentral:rRNA from 1 species